ensembl:lncRNA
CGCGCACGCGCUUUGCGCGCUGGCGUCACUUAGCAACGGAUCAACCGCGGGCGGGUAGGAUCCAGGACUUCAGGGCCUCAGUUCGCUUCAGGCGGGGGUCUUGCGGCGCGUCUCCCCCCAGGUCGGAGCCACUGCCCCUCCUGAACUGGGCCCUCAGGGUGUGACCGCACUGCGGACACCUGGCUCGGGGCAAGGCUUGUCAUCGCACGUCACUGAAUAGCGUCAUCGGUCGCGUCACUGCGUAUGGGGAAGAGCAGGAGCGCGCCUGUUGCAGAAAGCCUCGUCCUUCUGCAGUUAGCCGCUGGCCUGAUGGGCAGUCAGCUAGGUGCGAGAAAGUUGGACAAGGAGAAAGAGUGAGCCAAGGGAGUCAUUAACUGCAUCAAGGUGCUAUGAAAGCCAGGCCCGAAAGACCACGACUCAGUCUCCUCGUUCUGUAAGUGAGAAGACUAAUACCCGACCUGCUUGCUCUAGAAAGGUGUCGAUUUAGAGCGAGAUAAUGCGUGCGAGGCUGCCGGGGAACCUGGUCUCAUUCGAACUCCUAACUUCAGACCCUGACAGAAGCCGGGACAUAAGUACUCCACCUUCCAGGACUACCAAGUGUUAAGUAUGGAGCCCAUUAGACUCCAUCUUUCCUGUAAGAAGCGGGGACUUGUGGGCUUUGAAGCCACAGAAAUUGGGUUGCAGGUCUGAUUGAUCCUGGCUGAAACAGAAGAGCCGUCUCACACGAGAGGCUUACCUGGGUGCGGAAUUUGAAGACUUAAUUCCAAGCAAAGACGUCUUAAAUAGGCAGUUGAAAAUGAACAGACCGGGGUUGGGGAUUUAGCUCAGUGGUAGAGCGCUUGCCUAGGAAGCGCAAGGCCCUGGGUUCGGUCCCCAGCUCCGAAAAAAAGAUCCAAAAAAAAAAAAAAAAUGAACAGACCUAGCAAGGGCUGGGGCCAAGGAAGCAAACAGAGCUACAACCAAGAUGCUGGUGGUAGGGAUGGAAACGCAGAGGCCAGGGAUGGAAAAGCGGAGGAUGAAUGGAAUCGUGUUCCCCACCAAGACCUACAACCCCCAACCCACACUCCCGUCACCCUAAUGUGAUGAUCCUUUCUGUAAGGUGACAGAAGGGAGUUUGCAGACAUGGUUCAGUGAAGAUUGAGGAGAUUGCCUUGAAACUGGCCUGCUAGGACAAGAGCAUCAGAGUCCAAAAAAAAAGCUUACGAGAGAAGCAGGGGAGACAGCUUUGAAGCUACUGCCCAGCCAGCCUUCAAAAAGGAACAAAGGAGCACAGGCAGCCUACAGAAGCCGGAAAGGGCAAACGACUGGGUUCUUGAAUCUAGGGCUUGACCUCUAGAACUGUAACGAGAAUUGGGAUGGUGUCCAUGCGGUUUGUACUGACUUGUCACAACAGCCAUAAGAAACCAGUAGUGUGGAGAAUAAAGAGGACAGCUCCCUGGUGCGUUCUCCUUUGUCCAGGAAGAGAGGGGACAGUUUAUCAGGCUACCUCACAGACUGAGCACUGUGACUACAGUCCAAUGGAGCGGCCGUCCACAUUUAGAGGAAAAUGUCAAAUGGCCAAACUGCACGGGUCUGUGACUGAUGAGAGAAGCAGAGAUGUGAAGGGCAUCAAAGAGAAAGAAUAUAACUUCCACUUUUAUGUUAGACCCAGCAGCUGGUAACAGCAACCAUUAGCAAAUCCAACGAGUUUCACCCAACACUUGAAAAUUAAUAGAAGAUGUGCCACCUUCUGUCCAGAGAACUAUGCUUGUCGCUCAGUUGUUCUAGCAGUUCAGUUUGGAGGAGAGGUAGACACACGUGGGUAGAUAACUAGCUGCCAUAAAUGGGUUUUGGUUUUUGGGGGGUUUUGGGAGGGUUCGGUUGGUUUUGGUUUGUUUGUUAAGGCACAGGUAUACUAUGGCAAACUGUAUAAGGGCGAAAGAGUUAAUAGACCAAGAUUUAGAGCCAGGACAGGCAGUUACCUUCCUAAGAAAACCAAGUUCGAAUUGAUUUAAACGCUCUUUCUCCAUACUAUUAAGACAAUGUCCAUGCACGGCAGCAUUUACUCUACUAGUGUCGCUUGCCUCAUGCCAGGCACACAGUUCCUAUGCCUGUGCUUAGGAAUCAGAAAGCUGCCUCACGAGAGCUUGCAUAAUUACUCAAGAUCACAAAAUUAUUAAGAGGAUUCCCAAUGCUACAACCCAGGAACUACCCAUUCAUACCGUGCAGUCCCGGUUCACUUGGAGGGGGGCUAGAAAACAUGGCUUACACAGCUCAGCGGUGUCUGUGUUACAGGGCUGCUGUGCGUGAUCCCAUUCCGCUCCUUACUUGAACCUGAGAGCAACCUUUUAGAGUUGGAAGCUGCAAAUCUUUUAACCACUCUUGAUGAGCAGUGUGUCUCUGCCUGUGAGUGAUGUAAGUUAGACAACUGAACUGCAUAACCAUGCUUCCUUCCCUCUUCGUGCCCCUGUCCCAAAGCCCCGAGGAAAUGUGUUCACUUGGCAUUUGUAACUGAGUGGAUUCGUAUGCAUGUCUCUGCGUUGGUCUGGUAGUCUCCCAUCAGCACCUCAACGAAAACAUCCAGGACAACCAUGUUUGGCCCAGCUCCUGUUCUAGAGGUUUCAGUGUGGUAAUGGCUGGCUCCAUUGUUUUAGACCUGUGAAGUGACAGAGUGCAUGGAGGAGCAAAACCGCUCACCUCAUGACCAGGAAGCCAAAAGAAAACAAAAAAGCAAGGAUCCCACAGUACCCUGCAAGGACUCACGUUUUAAUGACUUAAGGAGCACCCACUAGGCCUCACAUCUUCGAGGCUCAGCUACCUACUAAUGAUGCUCCGCAUUUUAAGAAGAAUGUUAUGGGGCCAGCCAUAUGGCUCACAGGAUAAAAGCACUUGUUGCUGUUCAGCCCGAUGCGGACCCACCUGGUACCCAGAACCAACCUCUUCAUGUCAUUCUUCGAUUAUGCAUGUAUAUGGCACACAUGCUUGAGUAUACACACACACAAAAUAGUGUUUCAAAAGUUGUCCUCUGACCUCCAAACAUGAGCUGUGGCAAAAACACACACAGGCACGCGCACACACACACAUACACACAUACACUUUCUUAAAUGUUUGUAACUUUAAUUUCCCAUAUUUAGAUUCUGGGUAAUAACUAGUUCCAAGUCCAGAUUAAAAGAAAAAAAUCAUUGUCUAGGCCAGAAAGCAUUCCAAGUAGCAUCAAAGAGCCAAGUUGUGGCUCUUCUCUCUCUCUCUCUCUCUCUCUCUCUCUCUCUCUCUCUCUCUCUCUCUCUCCUCUCUCUCCUCUCUCUCCUCUCUCUCCUCUCUCCUCUCUCUCUCUCUCUCUCUCUCUCUCUCUCUCUCUCUCUCUCUCUCUGUGUGUGUGUGUGUGUGUGUGUGUGUGUAAAAUAGAUACCGUGGGUUCUUUAGACACAUAUUCCUCAUGCCUUAGAAAAAAAGAAAGUCUGUUUCCUAUCUGCUGAUGACAUUUUGUUAAGAUGGAGUUUUAUAUGUGUAGCUGGCCUUGUUACUCACUUUGUCAGAGGGGCUGUAGUUCCAAAACUACAGCUACAUGCCCUAAGUUUAAUUGGCUUGAGUCCAGUAGCUAAUACCAGGUUAGCCUCUUCUAGUUUGUUUUGUUUGAGAGGCGGGGCCUCACUGUGUAGCCCUGGCCAUCCUUGCACUCCAAUAGACCUGCCUGCCUUCUGGGUGCUGAGAUGAAAGGAAUUGUCUGAGUCUCAUUUCUUUACCAAGGGAUAUACUUUGCAUGUGAUCCCGUAAAGUGUGUAAGCAAUCACUUUAUUAACCACUCACUUUGCUAAUAGUCAUACAUUCCAUCAGGGCCCUUUCAGAUCUUCUAGUAAGGAGCGAGCAGUGAAGCUGGAGCGACAGCUCAGUGGUUAAGAGUGUACACUGCUGGGCUGGAGCGAUGGCUCAGUGGUUAAGAGUGUACACUGCUGGGCUAGAGCGAUGGCUCAGUGGUUAAGAGUGUACACUGCUUUUGCAGGGGAUUGGAGUUUGCUUCCCAGCACUCACUCAUAACUCACUUCCUGAAACACUGGCUCAGAGGGAUCCAGUGUCCUCUUCUGGACCCAGAACUUCUGUACUCACAUACACACAUGCCCACACAGAGACACACACACAUACACACACACAUGAAUAUUAAUACUAACAUGCUAAUAUGUUCACUAAUACUUUCUGGGAAAAACAUUUUAUCCCAAGUCUUCCAUGAUUCUCCAACAGAGCAUUUCAGUGCUUAAAUAGCUCAGGCAGAUGGGCAGUGUUCUGGAGAUUUUGCCAUGUGCUAUAAUAGAAGCAUCCAGCAUUGUCAGGCUUAAAAUCUAUCAUUCUCUAUGUAUUGGCAACUAAUGUCAAUUUUUUUUAAAAGAGGAGAAACAAUGUGUACUUUUAUAGACUUUCUGCUCUGCUGGCUAAAGCUUGAUGAUCUUGAACACUUUUUCUUCUUUGAAAACCUGGUUUUAUGAAAAGUCCUAGAUUGCCUGUGCCCCUUCCCCCACAUCCCCAGCUACCACCAUAGAGACAGGAAUGGUCACAUGGGGUGACUCACUCUUCACAAAAAGCUGUCAACCCCCACCCAUCUGCUAAUACUACUGAAUUCCGAACGCUGUGUACCUGUCUUUAGCCAGGCACACAAUGCUAGCUGGUCCCACGGAAAACAUGCUUGUCCAUACUGUCCUGAGCCCACGCUUGCAAACCUUCCCCCACCUACCUACCGCUUGUCAAGUACCGUGCCUCCCCAGAAGGAAGAACUUCCCAGAACCUAGGGAUGUCUUUCCUGAGUGACUUAACUCUGCACUUGAUAGCUUUGCAUUCCCUGCAGGAAAUCUCCCACAGGACAGUUCUUCCAAAUCAAAGCAUCCUGAAGUGAUUUAAGUAGCUGGCAUUGUUUUGUAGAGGAGGAAACUGUGGCUCAGUGGUUCCUCUUUUCAUCUAAGCUGCCCUGAAAACUCUAAAUGAGAUCUGUGUCUCUGGGCCAAGAAUGCCGCUCUGGUAGAGUUUGCUUUGGCUAGUGCAAGACCCUGGGCUUAAUCUCCAGGACCGGAGAAAAAAGAUAUUUAAAAAAGCAGCUAGAUUGAGUGCCCAGGGAUAAAGUCUUAGCCUGUGUGUCUGCAUAGAAGUUUACAGUCUCUGUACUUGGAGCGGUCCACUCAAGUUGUGUGAGGGGAACAUGGUGAAUAUACUUAGGACGGCUAUCUAAUGCAGACAUUGUAGCCCCGUGCCUUCACUUCAGCCUGGGAAGGCCCUGUGUGUCUAAUGACUUCUUCAGAUCCCAGAGAACAAGUCUCACGUUCCCCAAGCCACUCAGUUGCUCUCAUCUCUCCCAGUGGUCUUGAAUUUCAAAGAAUAACUCUACAUACCAUAGUCUUUAUUUAUGCAUAUGAGUAUACUGUCACUGUCUUCAGACGCACCAGAAGAGGACAUUGGGAUCCCAUUACAGAUAGUUGUGAGCUACCAUGUGGUUGCUGGGAAUUGAACUCAGGACCUCUGGAAAAGCAGUCAGUGCUCUU